AGUUGAUCCUCAAAGACUUUGGAUUUUUAACCCACAGUAACAAGGAAACUUGAUUUCAAAAUUGGGCUUUAAUACUUUGGGACCUUAAUUCAUAAGAGCGUUUAAUGUGUGCCCUUUUAAUUUCUCUGUGAAGAAUUUGAUACUGGUAGAGGUGUACUUUCAAAUUUGCAACAUUUCUAUGAUUUCUGAAUUGUAUUACUGGAUGCUUUUAUGUAUUUAAUCUUAGUUUGUCAUUUAACCUCAUCAGCUUUCUAUGGUUAGCUGUGCUGUGGAUGGCUGGUAAACAAAAAGUUGUUUCUGAUCAUUGGAUAUGAGUAGCCCUGGAGUUAAUUUAAAUUAAAGCAAUUUCUCACCCAUAUCAGAGACUUCUGGGAUGAAACUCUAAGUCGACCACCAGUAGUUCCCAGAGGCCACUAAAAUGAGUAACCCCAUAAAAGUGUGAGCAGGACUGUCCUGAUAAAGGUCUUUUCUUUGUCCUGAAGGGAGAGCCAUAUUCCGUUAAUUACAGGCUUAAAGGCAUAGUUGAGUGGGUUAAGAGAUUGAAAAAAACAGGGAAACAUUAGUGAAACAGGGAAGCAUUAGUGACAAUUUCCCUUCUCGUUCCUAAUGGUACCAGCAUGUGAAGGGAAUUUGAGUAGUAUAACUUUUAACCUCCCUGCUCUUAUAUUCACUGACACUGGCUAGGUGAGGUGACCUACUUGACUGGCAAAGUUGGGAAGAAUAACUGGCCAUGCUUUGCUAAGCUCUUCUUUCCUUCAUCUUGGGAGUGAGUCUGGUGAUAGAGAGACAAAAGUUCUCUGCUCCAUUGUGGACAUGCCCCUUUCACAUGGGUUUGCCUGGAACCAACUUGCUGCAACAAAGUGGGCCUCUCACUGUUGUGGCCUCUCCCGUAGCGGAGCACAGGCUCCGGACGC